rnacentral:lncRNA from 1 species
AAAAUUGAGGUCUUACAGUAACCUUUAUGUAAGUAGUGGUUUUGACUCAUUGAGUGAUUAUAACAAUGAAUUAUGAUCAAAUAAAUGGAGUAGAAUAUGGAUUAUUUGAUUGUCAGAAAGAAUUAGAUGUUCGGUAUGGCUCUUAUAAUAACAUAAGAGGAUCAUAACCAACAAAGGAUAGCAUCAAAUGCGUUUGAGGGAUUCAUAUUGUGCUGACUCUGAG